GUGGGGAAUUUUGGACAAUGGGCGCAAGCCUGAUCCAGCAAUGCCGCGUGCAGGAAGAAGGCCUUCGGGUUGUAAACUGCUUUUGUACGGAACGAAACGGUCCUGGUUAAUACCUGGGGCUAAUGACGGUACUGUAAGAAUAAGCACCGGCUAACUACGUGCCAGCAGCCGCGGUAAUACGUAGGGUGCGAGCGUUAAUCGGAAUUACUGGGCGUAAAGCGUGCGCAGGCGGUGCUGUAAGACAGGCGUGAAAUCCCCGGGCUCAACCUGGGAAUUGCGCUUGUGACUGCAGUGCUGGAGUACGGCAGAGGGGGAUGGAAUUCCGCGUGUAGCAGUGAAAUGCGUAGAUAUGCGGAGGAACACCGAUGGCGAAGGCAAUCCCCUGGACCUGUACUGACGCUCAUGCACGAAAGCGUGGGGAGCAAACAGGAUUAGAAACCCGAGUAGUCC
rnacentral:rRNA from 1 species